rnacentral:rRNA from 1 species
CCUACGGGCGGCUGCAGUGGGGAAUAUUGCGCAAUGGGCGAAAGCCUGACGCAGCGACGCCGCGUGGGUGAUGAAGGCCUUCGGGUUGUAAAGCCCUGUCGGGUGGAACGAACGAUCUGGCGGCGAAUAACCGCCGGGUGUGACGGUCCCACCGAAGGAAGCCCCGGCUAACUACGUGCCAGCAGCCGCGGUAAGACGUAGGGGGCUAGCGUUGUUCGGAUUUACUUGGCGUAAAGCGCACGUAGGCGGCGAAAGCCCUCUGCUUAACCGAGGUACCGCAUCCGAUACUGUCUGGGUCGAGUCUAGGAGAGGAAAGCGGAAUUCCCAGUGUAGCGGUGAAAUGCGUAGAUAUUGGGAGGAACACCGGUGGCGAAGGCGGCUUUCCGGACUAGUACUGACGCUGAGGCGCGAAAGCUAGGGGAGCGAACGGGAUUAGAUACCCUGGUAGUC